GUUGUAUGGUUAAGUGACUAAGCGUACACGGUGGAUGCCUUGGCAGUCAGAGGCGAUGAAAGACGUAGUAACUUGCGAUAAGCCCAGAUUAGGUAGUAACAACCAUUUGAGUCUGGGAUUUCUGAAUGGGGAAACCCACGUGCAUAAGCACGUAUCCUUACCUGAAUACAUAGGGUAAGGAGGCGAACCGGGGGAACUGAAACAUCUAAGUACCCCGAGGAAAAGAAAUCAACCGAGAUUCCGAAAGUAGCGGCGAGCGAAAUUGGACUAGCCCUUAAGCUUUACACGCGUUAGACGAACGGUCUGGAAAGUCCGACGAUACAGGGUGAUAGUCCCGUAGUUGACGACGUGUGUUCAGUGAAAUCGAGUAGGGCGGGACACGUGAUAUCCUGUCUGAAUAUGGGGGGACCAUCCUCCAAGGCUAAAUACUACUGACUGACCGAUAGUGAACCAGUACCGUGAGGGAAAGGCGAAAAGAACCCCUGUGAGGGGAGUGAAAUAGAACCUGAAACCGUGUACGUACAAGCAGUAGGAGCAGGCUUUGUCCUGUGACUGCGUACCUUUUGUAUAAUGGGUCAGCGACUUAUAUUCAGUGGCAAGGUUAACCAUCUAGGGGAGCCGUAGGGAAACCGAGUCUUAACUGGGCGUUCAGUCUCUGGAUAUAGACCCGAAACCAGGUGAUCUAGCCAUGGGCAGGUUGAAGGUUGAGUAACAUCAACUGGAGGACCGAACCGACUAAUGUUGAAAAAUUAGCGGAUGACUUGUGGCUAGGGGUGAAAGGCCAAUCAAACCUGGAGAUAGCUGGUUCUCCCCGAAAGCUAUUUAGGUAGCGCCUCGGACGAAUACUACUGGGGGUAGAGCACUGUUAAGGCUAGGGGGUCAUCCCGACUUACCAACCCUUUGCAAACUCCGAAUACCAGUAAGUACUAUCCGGGAGACACACGGCGGGUGCUAACGUCCGUCGUGGAGAGGGAAACAACCCAGACCGCCAGCUAAGGUCCCAAAUUACUACUAAGUGGGAAACGAUGUGGGAAGGCUCAGACAGCCAGGAUGUUGGCUUAGAAGCAGCCAUCAUUUAAAGAAAGCGUAAUAGCUCACUGGUCGAGUCGGCCUGCGCGGAAGAUGUAACGGGGCUAAGUAGUAAACCGAAGCUGCGGCAAUGUGCUUUUGCACAUUGGGUAGGGGAGCGUUCUGUAAGCGGUUGAAGGUGUGUGGUAACGCAUGCUGGACGUAUCAGAAGUGCGAAUGCUGACAUGAGUAACGAUAAAGGGGGUGAAAAACCUCCUCGCCGGAAGACCAAGGGUUCCUGUCCAACGUUAAUCGGGGCAGGGUAAGUCGACCCCUAAGGCGAGGCCGAAAGGCGUAGUCGAUGGGAAACGGGUUAAUAUUCCCGUACUUCUUACAAUUGCGAUGGGGGGACGGAGAAGGCUAGGUGGGCCUGGCGACGGUUGUCCAGGUUCAAGUGCGUAGGCUUAAGAGUUAGGUAAAUCCGGCUCUUUCUAAGGCUGAGACACGACGUCGAGCACCUACGGGUGUGAAGUCAUUGAUGCCAUGCUUCCAGGAAAAGCCUCUAAGCUUCAGAUUGUAAGGAAUCGUACCCCAAACCGACACAGGUGGUCGGGUAGAGAAUACCAAGGCGCUUGAGAGAACUCGGGUGAAGGAACUAGGCAAAAUGGUACCGUAACUUCGGGAGAAGGUACGCUCUCGACGGUGAAGUCCCUCGCGGAUGGAGCUAUUGAGAGUCGCAGAUACCAGGUGGCUGCAACUGUUUAUUAAAAACACAGCACUGUGCAAAAUCGUAAGAUGACGUAUACGGUGUGACGCCUGCCCGGUGCCGGAAGGUUAAUUGAUGGGGUUAGACUUCGGUCGAAGCUCUUGAUCGAAGCCCCGGUAAACGGCGGCCGUAACUAUAACGGUCCUAAGGUAGCGAAAUUCCUUGUCGGGUAAGUUCCGACCUGCACGAAUGGCGUAAUGAUGGCCACGCUGUCUCCACCCGAGACUCAGUGAAAUUGAAAUCGCUGUGAAGAUGCAGUGUACCCGCGGCUAGACGGAAAGACCCCGUGAACCUUUACUACAGCUUGGCACUGAACAUUGACCCUACAUGUGUAGGAUAGGUGGGAGGCUUUGAAGCACGUACGCCAGUAUGUGUGGAGCCGUCCUUGAAAUACCACCCUUGUAGUGUUGAUGUUCUAACGUCGACCCCUUAUCGGGGUUGCGGACAGUGCCUGGUGGGUAGUUUGACUGGGGCGGUCUCCUCCCAAAGAGUAACGGAGGAGCACGAAGGUGGGCUAAUCACGGUUGGACAUCGUGAGGUUAGUGCAAUGGCAUAAGCCCGCUUGACUGCGAGAAUGACAAUUCGAGCAGGUGCGAAAGCAGGUCAUAGUGAUCCGGUGGUUCUGAAUGGAAGGGCCAUCGCUCAACGGAUAAAAGGUACUCCGGGGAUAACAGGCUGAUACCGCCCAAGAGUUCAUAUCGACGGCGGUGUUUGGCACCUCGAUGUCGGCUCAUCACAUCCUGGGGCUGAAGUCGGUCCCAAGGGUAUGGCUGUUCGCCAUUUAAAGUGGUACGCGAGCUGGGUUUAGAACGUCGUGAGACAGUUCGGUCCCUAUCUGCCGUGGGCGUUGGAAGAUUGAAGGGGGCUGCUCCUAGUACGAGAGGACCGGAGUGGACGAACCUCUGGUGUUCGGGUUGUGUCGCCAGACGCAUUGCCCGGUAGCUAAGUUCGGAAUCGAUAACCGCUGAAAGCAUCUAAGCGGGAAGCGAGCCCUGAGAUGAGUCUUCCCUGAUACUUUAAGUAUCCUAAAGGGUUGUCGGAGACUACGACGUUGAUAGGUCAGGUGUGUAAGUGCUGUGAGGCAUUGAGCUAACUGAUACUAAUUGCCCGUGAGGCUUAACCAUACAACACCCAAGGGGUUU
rnacentral:rRNA from 1 species